GGGGAGCCAUAUAUAGAAAGUUGGCAAGUUGCAUGUUGAAUAACCAGCCACUCAAAGUAGGACAGGAAACAUUAAUGAGAGACCUGGUCGAUGCCAUGGAGUUAAAAUAUCAGCAUAAAAGCUACUGGACUCCAUCAGCUGAGGAAGCCCACUAAAUGUGC